CCCUAUUAUUAAGAUGAAAAUAGGGAGUAAGUUACGCUGAAAACAAUUCAGGGUGGCGGUUUUCUUAAUUCUCAGAUGAGUGUGUUUUUUAAAAACGAAAUUGCACGAACAUCUUUCUUACUUUUGAAUAUUCAUCCUGUACACCGCCGUCUGAAGGGUCAAUCCCCAAAGUUAACCCCAUUUCUUUUUCAGAAAUAAGUCAGGUUAGGUGCAGACUAUAGGUAAGAUAAAAUGCAUUCCUUUAAAAUGUUCAAAAGGAAAGUUGAAAAUGUUUCUUAAGGAGAAUUUGAUAGUAAGGUUUUUUUAUUAUAAAAAUCUGAAUUAACAACAAGAAAAUGUACACAUCGCCCGUCGCUC
rnacentral:rRNA from 1 species